rnacentral:rRNA from 1 species
GACGAACGCUGGCGGCGUGCCUAAUACAUGCAAGUCGAACGCAGUGGGGACGGGUGAGUAACACGUGGGUAACCUCCCAUCAGAGGGGAUAACACUUGGAAACAGGUGCUAAACCGAUACUGAUGGAUGGACACGCGGUGCAUUAGCUAGUUGGGGAGGUAACGGCUACCAAAGGCCACGAUGCAUGGACGGCCUGCGAGGGGGAGCGGCCAAACUGGGACUGAGAAACGGCCCAACAUCCUACGGGAGGCAGCAGUAUGGAAUCUUCGGCAAGGGACGAAAGUCUGACCGAGCAACGCCGCGUGAGUGAAGAAGGUUUUCGGAUCGUAAAACUCUGUUGUUAGAGAAGCGGUAUCUAACCAGAAAGCCACGGCUAACUACGUGCCAGCAGCCGCGGUAAUUC